UCAUUGCUGUUGCUCCCUUUGUAAAUUGGUCAAUUGCAUUCAACAUUGUAGUUGGAGAGCUAUUUUGGUGAGCGGUGAUACAAUUCUUUAUAUGCUCUGAUUGUGAAUUAGCCUCAUGUGCGUUUUUUGGUGUUUUUGAGACCCAAGGCCGUAUAGGCCUAAUCAGCGUUUCUGGAGGUGUUGAUGUUCGUAAUUCUAUAUGAAGCUUUGAAAGAACACUCUGUGGAUUAAAUGGCAAUAGACCAGAUCCUAAAAAGCCUCCUUUAAUGUUCUUCUCAUUGAUUGCAGUAAAGAACGCCAUGCGAAAGGCAUAGAGGAAGUCGAGCUUGCUAAUAUGUGUGAUAUGCAUACGCAUUAGCUUCUUAAUUUGCCGACUAUAUGCUUGCUUUAAUGGCCCAAAACAACUAACAUCUAAUGGUUGAAGCAGAUGUGAGGAAUAAGGAGGCAUAUAGACUGUAAUAAUCUUAUGCUCCUUAUAAUAGAGCUCAAAUGCCGUUGAGUGGUGGCUCUUAUGGCUAUCAAGGAUAAGCAUUCGAUAGAUCCCUUUCGUACGAGAAGCUGUAUGACGAUCAAAAUGCUUGAUCCAAUCUAAGCCAACCUUAUUGGUAGUCUAGCCAUUCUCUGUUGUUGCAAUGCGCCAAUCUGCUGGAAGAUCACACUCUCCAUACCAAUUCUCAAGAUGGUAUUGUGCAGUAAGAAUAAUGAGUGGUGGUAUUGCCCAACCCAUUGCAUUGAUGCCUUGGAUCAUAGUUGCCUACUCCCGGUUACCAGGCUAGGAUAAUUUAGCCUUUGUAAGGCCUUCUGAAGUCGUAACGACCAUGCCUGGAAAGAUAAUACCCAUUAUAAAGCCAGUCUCAUCAAAGUUAUAGAGAUCAUCAUCAAGGACCCUAUAUUUAGCCUUUAUAUUCUGUACAAGAGCAAACCAAUUGCUAAUAAGCUUUGGAUCUUUAUAUUUAGCUCUUUGAUAGUCGUAUUUGUGAGCCUAGCGUGUACGGAGCUUUGGCUGGCGUUUGAUAAAGUUUGAUGCCUAAUUUUUGCCAACUAAUGGCGCGUCGCGUACGCGUAGUAGAUGAUUGGCCAUUUCUUCAACACUAAGCAAUCUGGGUGGAAAUGAUCGCGCAGAUAGAUCAAUUAUAUGCUCAAUUAUGGCCUCUUCUUCUGAUUUUGUAAGAUUCAUUGAAUUGGCAAUUGUAUUACAUCGCGAAGAUAUACUAGCACGACGCCGAAGAAUUGUCGUACGACUGAUGUUAUAAAUCUUAGCUGUAGCUCUAAGACUUAAAUUCGGGUCUUGUUUAAGAGCUUAAAGGGCAAGCAGUACCCUACUUUCAUUUGAAGGUUCUGCUAUAAGAGAUUAUGGAGGAAUUUAAUAUAUAGAUGCAAAGGUAGAUAUUGUUAUGGAGGGUGGUCCGCUCGCUUAUGUGGUCCGCUCGCUUGUGGAUUACGUUACUUCUCUAUUAUAGUAUGAAAAAAUUUACUUUAACCUUUUAUAAUAUUUUUUUAAUACUCUUUUUAAAAUUUUUUAUAAAUCACUUAAUUAUUUAUUUUAAAUGUAAAAAUCUAUGAAAGUUUUAAGUUCUUAAAUAUUUUUAAUUCUAACCUUUUUAUUAUUAUUACUUAUAAAGUUAUUAAUAUUAUAAUUAACUCUUAGUUAUAUAUCUUUAAAACAAGUAUUUCUUUUCUAUAACUAUUUUAUACAAAUAAUUUUCUUUUUAUAAAGGUUUUAAUGUUAUUACCUUUUAUUAUUAAUAGUUUUAAAUACUUUCUUACGUUCUUUAAUAAGUUUAUUAAAGCUUUUAAAGAUUUAUUUUAUUUUUUUACUCUUUUAAUUAUUAUAAUUCUUUUUUAUUAUGAAUCUAAACUACUUUUUAAUAAAUCUUUUUAUAUAAGUAUAUAUAUAAAUUACUCUUAUAUAUGUUUUUCUUUACAAUAUUAACGAUAAUAUUAAAAUAAACUAGUUAAUACCCUAUUGAUUAGGUCUUUAAUAAUAAAAAACUAUAAGUCUAUUGUUUUUAUUAUUUUCUAGGCUAUUCUAGGCUAUUCUAAUAGGUUAUAAUAACAAACAAUAGUUCUAUUAUUUCUAUUGUUCUAUAGGCAAUUCUAGCCUAUUCUUUUACUUUAUAUUCCUUACUUAUUUU